AACCCCCAGGAGCACUUUCACGGACGCCCCAUUGGUCCACGGGCCUCAGCUCCCCGGGAGAGCCGGGACCUUGUCCGCCGUGUCCAUCCCUGGGUACCCAGAAGCUAAAACGGGGCUGGGCACACGAUCGGUGCCCAAAUGUGAAUGAAUGAGGUCAGAGGAGCCCAGAGAGGGUACUUCCUUGCCCCAAGUCACACAGCAUGUCUACAGUGAUCAGCUCAUUGAUGAACCAUGAUUGAGAUGGGAGAGAAGGUGAAGCAGCAUCUGUGUGGAGGUGGAAAGCUCAGCUCUGAAGGCCCUGCCAGCUCAGUCAUGGGAGGAGAGGAUCCUUCAGAAUCUGAGAAUUCCACAGCCAGGGAUCAAACCUGCGCCCCCUGCACUGGAAGCACGGAGUCUUAACCAUUGGACCGCUGGGGAAGUCCCCUGACAAACCUCUUCUUCUUUCAGUGAUGGGAAGUGGGACUCACUUGUUUUGCACAUCCCAGAAAGGAAAGCAGUCUUGUUACCUGGCUCAGAAGACAGAAUUGAGUUAUCUGUGCAGAGACUCACAGACCCAGGACUGGGAGAGCCCGUCUGCCCCCCAAGAGGACUUGGUGCCCCUCCCCUGUGUCCUGCAGCCUCUUUUGCCUGCCUGUGGUGGGGUCCUCAGAGAAAGCUGUGAAGGGACCCAGAAGUGCAUGGCCCUGAAAGUAACUGUUUACAUCAGCCCAUUUUACAGAUGAGGAAACUGAGCCCCAAAGAGAAAGAGCUGACUACAGGGUUGGUGGGGGGGACAGGACGAGCUGCCAGCAGAGCCGUAACCUGGGCCCAGAUCAGCUUCUGGUACCUCACAGCCAGCAAACCCAAAAACAGCAUCUAAUAAUCCCUAAAGCUCACAAGAAGCCCUCAGGGGAGGUGCUGAUUUCCCAUCUUCCGGAGGAGCCUGAGACUCAGACAACCCCGGUGCCCUAACAGCCCUGAUUUCCUUACCCUCUCCACCUUCGCUUUGA